rnacentral:rRNA from 1 species
AACGCGAAGAACCUUACCUGGGCUUGAAGUGCUGGUGGUAAGUCCUUGGAAACAGGGGCUGACCCGCAAGGGAGCCAGCAGAGGUGCUGCAUGGUUGUCGUCAGCUCGUGUCGUGAGAUGUUGGGUUAAGUCCCGCAACGAGCGCAACCCCUAUCUCAUGUUGCUACCUGCGCAAGCAGGGCACUCUUGAGAAACUGCCUUCGAUAAGAAGGAGGAAGGUGGGGACGACGUCAAAUCCUCAUGGCCCUUAUGUCCAGGGCUACACACGUGCUACAAUGGCCGGUACAACGGGAAGCAAUACCGUAAGGUGGAGCCAAACCCUGAAAGCCGGCCCCAGUUCAGAUUGUGGGCUGCAACUCGCCCACAUGAAGGCGGAAUCGCUAGUAAUCGCGAAUCAGCAGGUCGCGGUGAAUACGUUCCCGGGCCUUGUACACACCGAGUAUA